rnacentral:tRNA from 2 species
GGGCCGGUAGCUCAGUUGGUAGAGCAACGGACUUUUAAUCCGUGUGUCGUGGGUUCGAAUCCCACCCGGCUCACCA